rnacentral:RNase_P_RNA from 1 species
CGAGUCAGCUGGGCAAUUGCUGUCUUUAGCUCUUCGUUUGUCGACUAUCGAUUUACGAGGAAAUCGACAGAGGAAAGUCCGGGCUCCAUAGAGCAGAGUGCCAGGUAACGCCUGGGGGGUGCAAACCCACGGCUAGUGCAGCAGAAAGUAUACCGCCUCCAAGCUUUCGGGCGCAGGGGUAAGGGUGAAAUGGUGCGGUAAGAGCGCACCGCGCGACUGGUAACAGUUCGUGGCAAGGUAAACCCCACUCGGAGCAAGGCCAAAUAGGAAUCCAUGGAUGCUGCUCGCAUUGGGUUCGGGUAGGCCGCUAAAGACCUGUGGCGACACAGGUCGUAGAUGAAUAAUUGUCCUCGACAGAACCCGGCUUAUAGGCUGGCUCGCUUU